GCAGCAGCCACGGUAAUACGAAGGGGGCUAGCGUUGUUCGGAAUUACUGGGCGUAAAGCGCACGUAGGCGGAUAUUUAAGUCAGGGGUGAAAUCCCGCAGCUCAACUGCGGAACUGCCUUUGAUACUGGGUAUCUUGAGUAUGGAAGAGGUUAGUGGAAUUGCGAGUGUAGAGGUGAAAUUCGUAGAUAUUCGCAGGAACACCAGUGGCGAAGGCGGCUAACUGGUCCAUAACUGACGCUGAGGUGCGAAAGCGUGGGGAGCAAACAGGAUUAGAGACCCGAGUAGUCCCUGUCUCUUAUAC
rnacentral:rRNA from 1 species